GAUGAACGCUGGCGGCGUGCCUAAUACAUGCAAGUCGAGCGAACGGACGAGAAGCUUGCUUCUCUGAUGUUAGCGGCGGACGGGUGAGUAACACGUGGAUAACCUACCUAUAAGACUGGGAUAACUUCGGGAAACCGGAGCUAAUACCGGAUAACAUUUUGAACCGCAUGGUUUAACAGUGAAAGACGGUCUUGCUGUCACUUAUAGAUGGAUCCGCGCUGCAUUAGCUAGUUGGUAAGGUAACGGCUUACCAAGGCAACGAUGCAUAGCCGACCUGAGAGGGUGAUCGGCCACACUGGAACUGAGACACGGUCCAGACUCCUACGGGAGGCAGCAGUAGGGAAUCUUCCGCAAUGGGCGAAAGCCUGACGGAGCAACGCCGCGUGAGUGAAGAAGGUCUUCGGAUCGUAAAACUCUGUUAUUAGGGAAGAACAUAUGUGUAAGUAACUGUGCACAUCUUGACGGUACCUAAUCAGAAAGCCACGGCUAACUACGUG
rnacentral:rRNA from 1 species